GACGAACGCUGGCGGCGUGCUUAACACAUGCAAGUCAAGCGGAAAGGCCCUUCGGGGUACUCGAGCGGCGAACGGGUGAGUAACACGUGAGUAAUCUGCCCUUCACUCUGGGAUAGCCACCGGAAACGGUGAUUAAUACCGGAUACGACCAAUCCCUGCAUGGGGUGUUGGUGGAAACUUUUUUGGGUGGGGGAUGUGCUCGCGGCCUAUCAGCUUGUUGGUGGGGUAAUGGCCUACCAAGGCUUCGACGGGUAGCCGGCCUGAGAGGGUGACCGGCCACACUGGGACUGAGACACGGCCCAGAGUCCUACGGGAGGCAGCAGUGGGGAAUAUUGGACAAUGGGCGGAAGCCUGAUUCAGCAACGCCGCGUGAGGGAUGACGGCCUUCGGGUUGUAAACCUCUUUCAGCACCGACGAAGCGCAAGUGACGGUAGGUGCAGAAGAAGGACCGGCCAACUACGUGCCAGCCGCCGCAGUAAAAC
rnacentral:rRNA from 1 species